rnacentral:rRNA from 1 species
AGACGCUAAGGCGUCGAAGUAGUGUAUGUCAGACUUCCAAGAAAAGCUCGCACUGUCAUAGGUAAAAAAUGCCUGUACCAUAACCGACACAGGUGGGUAGGUAGAGUAUACUAAGGGGCGCGAGAUAACUCUCUCUAAGGAACUCGGCAAAAUGACUCCGUAACUUCGGGAGAAGGAGUGCCUUAUUUAUAAGGUUGCAAUAACAAGAUCCAAGCAACUGUUUACCAAAAACACAGGUCUCCGCUAAGUCGUAAGACGAUGUAUGGGGGCUGACGCCUGCCCAGUGCCAGAAGGUUAAAGAAGUUGGUUAGCAUUCGCGAAGCUGAUAACUGAAGCCCUGGUGAACGGCGGCCGUAACAAUAACGGUCCUAAGGUAGCGAAAUUCCUUGUCGGGUAAGUUCCGACCCGCACGAAAGGCGUAAUGAUUUGGAUACUGUCUCGGAGAGAGGCUCGGUGAAAUGGACUUGUCUGUGAAGAUGCGGACUACCUGCACCUGGACAGAAAGACCCUAUGAAGCUCUACUGUAACUUGAAAUUGAAAUUGGACUUUAGUCGCGCAGUAUAGGUGGGAGGCGUUGAGCAUGUUCUUGCGGGAACAUAGGAGCCAUCAGUGAGAUACCACUCUUCUAAUGUUAGAUUUCUAACCUUGUACCAUUAUCUGGUCAAGGAACAGUUUCAGGCGGGCAGUUUGACUGGGGCGGUCGCCUCCCAAAUGGUAACGGAGGCGUACAAAGGUUUCCUCUGAACGGAUAGAAAUCGUAUCUAGAGUAUAAAGGCAUAAGGAAGCUUGACUGUGAGACCUACAAGUCGAGCAGGGACGAAAGUCGGUCUUAGUGAUCUGACGGUACUGAGUGGUAAGGCCGUCACUCAACGGAUAAAAGUUACUCUAAGGAUAACAGGCUGAUCUCCCCCAAGAGUUCACAUCGACGGGGAGGUUUGGCACCUUGAUGUCGGCUCAUCGCAUCCUGGGGCGGUAGUACGUCCCAAGGGUUGGGCUGUUCGCCCAUGAAAGCGGUACGCGAGCUGGGUUCAGAACGUCGUGAGACAGUUCGGUCCAUAUCCGGUGUAGGCGUUAGAAUAUUGAGAGGAGCCUUCUUUAGUACGAGAGGACCGAGAAGGACAUACCUCUGGUGUACCAGUUAUCGUGCCAACGGUAAACGCUGGGUAGCUAUGUAUGGAGUGGAUAACCGCUGAAAGCAUCUAAGU